GAUGAACGCUGGCGGCGUGCUUAACACAUGCAAGUCGAACGGAAAGGCCCAAGCUUGCUUGGGUACUCGAGUGGCGAACGGGUGAGUAACACGUGGGCGAUCUGCCCUGCACUUCGGGAUAAGCCUAGGUAACUGGGUCUAAUACCGGAUCGGACGAUGGCUAGGAUGCCAUUGUGGAGAGUUUUUUCGGUGUGGGAUGAGCUCGCGGCCUAUCAGCUUGUUGGUGGGGUAAUGGCCUACCAAGGCGUCGACGGGUAGCCGGCCCGAGAGGGUGUACGGCCACAUUGGAACUGUGAGACGGCCCAGACUGCUACGUGAUGCAGCAGUGGCGAAUAUUUCACAAUGCGCGAACGCCUGAUGCAACAAGGCCGCGUGGUGGAUGAGGGCCUUUGGUUUGUAAGCUCCUUUGGCGGUGGACGAAGCGUUGUUGUGACGGUACCUAGAGAAGAAGCACCGGCUAACUACGUG
rnacentral:rRNA from 1 species